rnacentral:rRNA from 1 species
GAUGAACGCUGGCGGCGUGCUUAACACAUGCAAGUCGAACGGUGAAGCAGAGCUUGCUCUGUGGAUCAGUGGCGAACGGGUGAGUAACACGUGAGCAACCUGCCCCUGACUCUGGGAUAAGCGCUGGAAACGGCGUCUAAUACUGGAUAUGUGACGUGGCCGCAUGGUCUGCGUCUGGAAAGAAUUUCGGUUGGGGAUGGGCUCGCGGCCUAUCAGCUUGUUGGUGAGGUAAUGGCUCACCAAGGCGUCGACGGGUAGCCGGCCUGAGAGGGUGACCGGCCACACUGGGACUGAGACACGGCCCAGACUCCUACGGGAGGCAGCAGUGGGGAAUAUUGCACAAUGGGCGAAAGCCUGAUGCAGCAACGCCGCGUGAGGGAUGACGGCCUUCGGGUUGUAAACCUCUUUUAGCAGGGAAGAAGCGAAAGUGACGGUACCUGCAGAAAAAGCGCCGGCUAACUACGUGCCAGCAGCCGCAGUAACAC